rnacentral:rRNA from 1 species
GUAGAGCGGCGCACGGGUGAGUAACGCGUGGGUGAUCUGCCUCCGAGUGGGGAAUAACAGCGGGAAACUGCUGCUAAUACCGCAUGACAUCCCCGGGUCGCACUGGGGAUCAAAGCCGGGGACCGCAAGGCCUGGCGCUUGGAGAUGAGCCCGCGUCCGAUUAGCUAGUUGGCGGGGUAAUGGCCCACCAAGGCUCCGAUCGGUAGCCGGCCUGAGAGGGCGGACGGCCACACUGGGACUGAGACACGGCCCAGACUCCUACGGGAGGCAGCAGUGGGGAAUUUUUCGCAAUGGGGGAAACCCUGACGAAGCAACGCCGCGUGGAGGAUGAAGGCCUUCGGGUCGUAAACUCCUGUCGACUGGGAAGAAUGCACCUGACCUAAUACGUCAAAGUGUUGACUGUACCGGUGGAGGAAGCCACGGCUAACUCUGUGCCAGCAGCCGCGGUAAUACAGAGGUGGCAAGCGUUGUUCGGAAUUACUGGGCGUAAAGGGCGCGUAGGCGGCCCGCCAAGUCCCGUGUGAAAGCCCCCGGCUCAACCGGGG